rnacentral:rRNA from 1 species
GACGAACGCUGGCGGCGUGCCUAAUACAUGCAAGUAGAACGCACAGUUUAUACCGUAGCUUGCUACACCAUAGACUGUGAGUUGCGAACGGGUGAGUAACGCGUAGGUAACCUGCCUGGUAGCGGGGGAUAACUAUUGGAAACGAUAGCUAAUACCGCAUAAUAUUAAUUAUUGCAUGAUAAUUAAUUGAAAGGUGCAAUUGCACCACUACCAGAUGGCCCUGCGUUGUAUUAGCUAGUAGGUGAGGUAACGGCUCACCUAGGCGACGAUACAUAGCCGACCUGAGAGGGUGAUCGGCCACACUGGGACUGAGACACGGCCCAGACUCCUACGGGAGGCAGCAGUAGGGAAUCUUCGGCAAUGGACGAAAGUCUGACCGAGAAACGCCGCGUGAGUGAAGAAGGUUUUCGGAUCGUAAAGCUCUGUUGUAAGAGAAGAACGGGUGUGAGAGUGGAAAGUUCACACUGUGACGGUAUCUUAACAGAAAGGGACGGCUAACUACGUG